UGGAGAAAGUUUUAAUUGUCAAUUAGCCUCUUAAAAACUAAAUAAUAAAUUGGAUUAGUCAAGAGGUUUAAAUUUCUUACUUUGUCAUAUUUUAAAUAUGACAAAAAAACAUAAAAAUAAAGUCUUGAGACAAUUUGACCUGUAAUUGGCAUUAUAUAAAUAAAAUUGAAUUAAAAUUGUAUGUAUCUUGUAAUGUUGGAGUAAUUCAGCCAUAUAUGAUAGAAAACACAUUUUCUUUGUCCAUUAAUCUGUCGUUUUCUCCAGUAAUACAUUUCUUGUUUUGGUUUAUAAAAUGUCAAGCCCAAAUAUAUUCAGUUUACUGUCAUAAAAACCAAAAAGAUUUACAUUUUUUCACUUUUUAUCUUAGUUUAGUCAGAAAGAUAGUUGAUAAUGUGUGAAUUGUUGCAGCUUGUGAGUCGUAAAAGGUUUUAAUCUUUGGGGCCGAGUGUCAAAAAACAUUUAGAAACCAACAUCAACAAAACACUCAACAAAGAUUUGAACAUCAUUGAAGGGAAAUCCAACUUUUGCAUGACAAUGUCUAAUUAAAGGACAUUUAUUUCCAACGUAAAUGUGUGAUAUUCAUCCUCUGGAGCUUUCUCUUCACAUCGUCUUCCACCUGGACUGGUUUGGUCAGGAGCAUGUGCAACAAAUAUUUGAAAAACUGCACUUUAACAUCAAUGAAUGACACUAAAGUUUAAUUUCUACAUAAAUGAGACUGAGUCUGGAUGUGCUGCUCUGUCAUUAACUCCUAAGUUUAGGGAAAGUUCAAACAAAAGAGGACAGUUCAGAUCAGACUUGAGAAUGAGCUUAUUUUGAACAAACAUCUCAGACUUUCUGAGCUUCAGCACCUCUAGCAAGAUAUUUUAACAACAAGCAACUCAAGAGAUCCAGAAGUUGGAGAGAGUUAGCUUUAGCUGAGCCAAAGAACAUGUGGGACGCUAACCUAGCAAACAUUUCAGACUUUUCUCUGUGAAUUCUGAGAAAUAAUUUCCAAUUUAAUGACAGAGCUACACAUUUUAACUCAGUCUCAUUAAAACAGACUCUAAUUCAGUGUCAUCCAUCCAUAUUAAAAUGCAGUUACCCAAAAUGUUUGUUGCAUGAGCUCCAACAAAACCUGUCCAGGUAGAAGGCCACUUUGACAAACAGGAAGUGGAAGAUUCCAAGCAGAUUUAUAGAAGGGGGAACCAGACUGUACUAAGUGUGGUCGAGUAUAGAGGGGUGUUUUGUGGGUUUUUAAGGCUGAUAAUGAUUAUUUGUGAGACAUUUGGAGUAGAUAUUCAUUUGCAGUAAAUGAAAGUAUUUAAAAUCUUGGAGUUUAACUUAGAAGAACACAAACUCUAACAGAAAACUUUGUUGAUACGUUUUUGUUUACAGAUGUUAAAGGAGUUUUAUUCGUGACGUAUAACCAAUCAAAUCACUCCAGAAGACAGAGCGACCACAGCUGCAUGCCUUCGUCCAUCCGGCCUCCGUUGACUCGUCCCGCCUGCCGUCUCUGGAGCUGAAGCUGGAUUGGAACAGACCAAAGUACAGUCCAAUCACGAUGCCAGCUGCCUCUCAAAAGGUUCCUUCAUCUGGAGGAACUUCUUCUGAGGGGAAGCUGAGCUGGUCCAGCAGAACUUUGGAGAUGUGUUCCAGUGGUUGGUGGACGUGUGGGGAGAUAGAGAGGGACCUUUGAAUUGUUCAGAAAGGAAAACAGGAAACCCACUGGUAGCUUUAGUUAGCCUAGGGUUUAGCCUGCUACUGCGGUGUGUUUUUGGGUUUUAAGAGGUGAACACGAAGAGUUUUUUUUUUCGUAUUGAUUAUCUUUUACUUUGUUCCUGGUUGGAAUGCCCAUCAAUGUCAACAUGAAGUUCACUUUUAGUUCUGUUUAUUUAUUUUUAUUUUACUAACACCCAUUUGUUUUUAACUCCCUCACAUGUUGUGUUGUUGUAAACUUACUCUUUCAAAUAAAUACUCAUCUAACCCUCUGGAAA